CAGAGUCUUGUUGCCGUGCAGCACCGUGCUGCUGGGUAGGCUGCUGUAGGUGGGGUAUUAUUUGCCUGGCUGAAUAGCAGGGAUGUGCCCAAGGCAAAGGGAAAGUUUUACUGUCUUAACACAUUAACCUUGCAGGCUCUGUCCUAGAAAUGUUAAAAAAAGCCACAAGGUCAUGCUGCUUGAAGAGACACUGCUCUUGCAUAUGCUUUAAAAUGAGCUGUAUUUUUUUACUGCAGUCUAUCAGUUGUGCCUUCAUGGGUCAGUCCAUUUUGGGGAGAACUAGCUUGUGGCUUGGCUCCAUGAGCAAUAAAAAACAAGCAUAGGCAGACUUUUCUCUCAGCUGCUCCAGACCUAAGUGUGGGGCAGGCUAAAUUACAAAGACCCAAAAUAGGAAGCAGACACUGACAAACAUGAAAACCCUACUUCAGGAGCCUUGAAACAGUUGGGGAUUUAUUUCUCAAACACAGUGAAAAGUUUCUUAUCCCCCCAUUAAAUGAUCCCAUGUUCAUAAUAUAACAGUGGGGUGCACAGAUCUACACGCAGUGUUAAUUCUGUCACCCCAGUGCCACUAUCCCCACCAUGGGGUUUGGAAGGCCUCACACUGGGUGGCCCUGUGCCUUCCCACUGCCAGGGGACAGCACAGCAUGCCCCAGUGGAGGUGCGGUGCUGGGCUGGAAACAAGGCCUCGUCACAGAACAAGUGGCUGAGAAAGCAAAAUCUGUCAGAAUAAGUAUUGUGGGGAAAGAGAGAUCAACUCUGGCUUUUAUUAUUCUGCAGGAAAUGAUUAUUUUUGAAGGUAAAGUUCUGGAAUGCUUAUGAACCAUUAUAAAAUACAACUUGCCAACUAUCUGGUCUCAAGGGCUGGUUUAUUCCAAAACAUUGCUGUCCUGGAUGCUACAGUCUGACAGACCAGUGCAGGGUCAUGUUCUGACCAACUGGUCAUGUUAUGCAGCAUACAUCUCAGAGCAGGAGAUUGCCUGAGAGCUGUGGUAUCCUCCAAACCUCAUCAAUUUGAGAGGAGACAGAAGACUAAAAGAAGGGAUGUUUUGCAUACCUUGUCUCAAAUAAGUACCCAGAUGCAUACCUUAGGCAAGAUUUCUGAAUAUCAGUGCAUACUUUCAGUGACUGUAUGUCAAAGGCAUAUUGAUUAUUGUCGCUUAGGCUAAUGCAUACUGUAUGCUACAGUGCAGCUCCAAUAGAUUUCCUAAGAGCAAGCAUGAGUUAAUGUCACAAAAAUCACCAGCGCCAAGUGGGAAUAGCUCUAUUUAAUACAGAGAUUAUGGCAGUAAACUUCUGAUCUGUUCCUUAUGAUCACUUAUCCUAGCGCUGUGUAAAUGCUUUUUAGGAAAAGUCUUAGCUUCAUGAGAUUGAUGUUCACAAAGAAAUCCAGCCCGGGUGGGUAUAUUGGCUCUAUCAGUCAGCCUUCGACUGUUCCUUCCACAAAGCUUGCUUUCCAAAUCUGGUUUCAAGAGCUGUUUGCUUGACAGACUGCUUCACAGACUUGCAAUUGUUUGUUUCUGGCUCUUUUUGAUUGCUCCACUGAUCUCUCGACUUUGGCCUUGAGGCUAUUAUUUAUAUUGUACUUUUAUUGGUGUUUGCUAUUUGAAACUUUGUUUUCAGUAGAUUUGCUGCUCUGUCCUAAACUGCUUUUCUGAUUAAAUUCUGUUGAAGAGGCUUGGUAGAUUGCUUCACCUUUUUUUUUUUUUUUUUUUUUUCCCUGUUUGUCCUCCUCCUAAUUGUUCAUUUGAGAACUCACCUGCCUUUUGUUUACACCUUCCUUUGUGAUUUGUUCUCAGAUUAACAGGGGCAGCUGCACAGUUUUUACGUCUAUUAGUUCUUUGCAGUGGAUCAGGCAAAAUAUUAACCUGUACUGUUCUCCCCCAAAAAAUCAAGUGAACUGCAAUAGACUCUUUCUCUCACAGUUCAGAAAAAAGAAGUAUUUUAAUUUUUGAUAGUCACUGCAGGCAAGAAUUUUUGUGUGUCUAGAUGUGUCUGCUAUAAGUACAGGAUGAGCAUUAGAAUCGGGACAUAUGAAACUAGCUUGCUCUUUCUGCCAAUAUGUAUGAACUUAUAUUUGCAAGAACUUGAGUGUGAAAUUCAAAUCCAAAUUCAGGUCUCAGCCCUGCAAUGCCAUGAGCUCAGUGGGACUGUAUGCAUGCACUCAGUAUUUCCUGAGCAUAAAUCGUUCCAAGGUGUUGUGGUUCUCAGCUCAAUAAUUCUUUGAAUUUAUCUACCAGAUGUAGUUUGGUCCUCCUUAGAUCUGCUAAUCAAGUGGCUUCUUUCUUGAUUUGAGUGAUUUACAAACUUCUGUAAUUUCUCUGUUAUUGAGCUUUCUGCCUGUUUACAUUUUACUGCUGAUUGAUUGGUUGUUGCCAUAUCCUUAAUGGGGAGCCAGCUUUCCUGCAAUUUUCUUUAUUAUUGUCUCUAAUGUGGGACUUUCUUCCUACUAAUACUUUCCAAAAAUGUGUUUUCUUUUUUUGAGCUUCUUGGUAGAUAAGAGAGAGAGAGGAAUGGAUAUGAAAUGCCAUAGAUUAAGUAACCUCCCAUGAGACCUGUUAUUCAUACCAAAUUUCAGUUCUUUUCAUAGAAUAGUUUGGGUUGGAAGGGACCUUUCAGAUCAUCUAGUGCUUUUACUGAUUUUAGGUUGUUAUGUUUCAGUUAUUCAAACCUGAAGCUUUAAGACCUUUACUGAGCAAGAAGGUGAAUGGUCACAAUGACAGCUAAAGCCAAAGAUCUCUGCAAGUGCUUCAGGUUUUAUUUCGGAAUUGGACAAGAUGUUCAGAACAGGAACAUCAAUGGGGAAAGAGUUAAUUUCUGUGCAAUUCUGUAUUUGCCUCACAUUUUGCAAAGGCACACUAGUAUUCAUCAUUCUCCUCACUCUAACAGUCUGACUGAAUGGUUUUCUGGGUUUGUUUACAUUGCUCAUCUUUGCUAGUCUCUGGCCAUUUCAGUUUUUAACAGUCCUCUCAACCUUUCAUUGUUUUCUCUAUUGAUGUGGUGACUCUUUUCACAUCUGGGGUUGCUGAAACAACACAAGGAAUGGGUUCUACUCUCUUUCCAAGCCAAUGUGGCAAUGGUCUCCAUACAUGGCCUUAGUGAAACCUUCUCCACUGUGUGAGCUGCAGCCUGGGCUCAUUCCAGCCUCCAUUCCACUGCAGGUUCUAAUACUGCAUCACUUCUUUGAACAUCUGAAGCUGUUUAUAUUAAUAAAUUGAUUAUAAACACAGUACACUGUUUGAUCCUCCAUGUGCUUUUGAUGCUAAUUCUACUUUAAUUUAUUUAUUUGUUAAUAUAAAUACCUUAAAUAAAUUUAGUUUCCUAUGAUAGCAUGUAUUUGCUUCAGUGGAUUAUGCCCUAUUCUCUAAGUUCAAUAUGAGUUUUCUCUCCUGUCCAGAGUCUGUCAGAGAUGCAGGGCAUUUGAUUUCUUUCUCUUGGGAGGAAGAUUCAAAAUCUACUGUAGGACUGACUUCAAAGAGUUUCUUCCAGUGCAGCCUCUGUGGAAAUUUAGCCUACUUAUGCCAGCAAAUCUACGACCGACUGUGUCACAGUGUCUUAUCUGCUGGAGUCCACAAAGCAUUUGAUAAUCUUCUUCAAAAACAAUGCAUUUAGGUGUUUCAUUUCCAAAGAAGAAGUGAGGAAAACAUAAUUAUUGGAAUCCAGUUAAAAAAUCACCACCAACAAAAAACUACCACCACCACCAAAAAACUACCACCACCACCAAAAAACUACCAACCACCACCAAAACAGGACGUUUCUUCUUUCUUAUUUUUUAUUUUCAAAUCAGCCUAAAAACGUUCUCUCACUGAUGUGGUAGUGUACCUUUGUGCACCAGGUCAAUGUUUCUUCUGGAAAUAUCUGGUAAUUGCUUUUGAGCUGUAAGCUCUCUUGAGCAGCCUAGCUCAGGAGAACUCCUCAAGGGUAUUUCAAUUGCUCAGAUCCACUUAGAUGUGGUAAGUUUCUGUGAAUCUUUGGGCUUUCUUCCAGAAGAAAUGGGUCUGACUGGAAGACUCUCUCUGCUGCAAGAAAAUCUAAGCAGCAUUCUUUGAGAUGCAGGCACUCCUAAAAUGAGAGCAAAGUAAAGCUACCAGUCAUCAGCUAGAAAAAGGACGAAAGGAGAAAAGAAAUGAAAACACAGAGGCUGUAGUUGAUAAUUAAUAUGUAAGUCUCUACAGAGUCCACAUAGCCUUUGUAGUAUCUGGAGAGAAAGAGAUGUCAACAAGAUCAUAAAUAUUCUCCUGUACUUCCAUCAGAAGAUAGUUUAGGCUUCACCUCUUCAAAUAUUUGUUCACAUAUUUAAUCUUACUGACUUUUCAAAUGGUAAAAUUUAACAUGUAGGCCUACCUACGCAAGAACAAGUGCACUUUUUUUUUUUUUUUUUCCAAAGUGCAUGUCAGCCAAACUAAGCUGCAGCAAAAAAAUCUGGGAAUGUUUCCAAACCAUUGUGUGUAGGCUUGCUGGAGGGGUUCCUGAAUUGCAUCUCUCUCAGAGUUAGUUGAUACUCUUGAGUAUCAGAAGUGUGAUGGAUACACAUGGUUUUAUUUGAGUUAUCUCAAGUGCUUUACAGUGAGCCAAAUUUCCAUUUGCCAGUAACUGAGUUUUCAAGGGGGAAAAAAACAUCUUGCCCAGUUGUGACAAAAUAUAGAAAUUACACUUGUCUGAGGGAAAAAUGAAAUCUGUUUUGAUUAAGAAACUAAAGUAUUUUGGAGGGAGGUAGAGCAGAAGCAGGAUGAUCGUUUGAGUGUAAUGUUUAGAUUUUGUGGGUCCACAAAUAUAUUUCUAAUGAAAUAUGUCUGCAUGAAAUUUUCCAUAAUGGCUAUCUGCCUUGGGUGGAAUAUUUCUGGAAAAAACUUUCAAGACAGAAUAGUUAAGCCACUUUUAAAAAACACUUUUAAGAGAAAAGAUAUUUUUCUGAGUAAAAAGCAAAAAACCCUCAACCACUCAAUGAGUUGGUUGGGGAAGUAUUGGGCCUCUGUAGCUCUGAAAUGGCAUCCUGAAGCAUAGUAUGCUUUUUUCUCUUUUAAGGAAUUAUCUUUUUGCCUUCUUUUCCACUGGACAAGUUGGCUGGUGUUAGCCAAUGUGAACAUUUUGAAAAACCUCUUUACAUGUGCUCUACUGAGACUUGUUAAGGUUUGGCAGCUAAAUUCUUAGAAAAUAGGGAAAAGGGACAAAGGAGGAAAAAAAAAAGAAAAAAAAAGAAGGAAAAAAAAAAAGGAGAAAAGGUAGAAAUGGAAGAAAAAGAGAAAAAUUUGGAAAAAAAAAAUCUGUUGAUAGCAGAUGGGCACUAUCUCCAGGGUGCCUUGCUUAAAUCAAGAUUUUCUCAGGUGCAUUUUUCCCAGUUGAAGGGAGCUACCCUGCUGCCUGGAGCCCUUGUGGGAGCAGGCAAGUUCUUCAAGAUGCUUUUCUCUGUGACAGAUAACAAAGAGCGUAAAUGGGAAAACUUAUGGAACUCUUUAUAAAAACUUACAGAACUCUAGAAGCACUAAAACAGCCAAACUGCAGAAGAAAUGCAAAUAGGAAUUCAGUUCAUUGUUUCUCCCUCAACAAGUUCCUACAUGUACCUAUUGCCACAGAAUGGAGACUUCCUUCUUGUGUCCUUGCCCAGGAAAAAAAAAAAAAAGAAAAAAAAAAAGAAAGAAAGAAACUAAAAAUGCUCCUACAUUAAGUUUAGGACAAAAGGAAAUACAUUGUGCAUAGAGAGGCUGGUGCUUGCUUGAAUUCCUGUGCCAAAUGAAGACUGGCAAUUUUUCAAUGAUUUAAAUCAUGGCCAAGAUUUCUCUGUCAGCAAUCAAAUAUUGGCCUUUUAAUCCUUUGGAAAGUUAGUUUUAUUUGCUUUCUCACACCCAGGAGUUUUUAGGACAGCUUUGUGCUGUACCAUCAUCCAUGUUGUGAACCCAUUGGGCCCAUGGUAUAUUGUCCCGCUAUUUACAGCAGUACGAGGAAAAGGGGAAAGAAUACUGUCUUAAGAGGGUGAAGAUGUGUUUCAGACAUUAACUACGCAUGAACAGUUUACAACAAGCAGAAAGCAACAGAGAAUUAAGAAGCAUUUUUCUCCUAAGGAGGUCUUCCUCCCUCACUAAGAUACUGCCUAUUCUCAUGGAGCAUCGCUGCAGGGAGAUGACACCCCAUGUCUUCGUUCAAACAGCAUAGGUGAAUAACAUAGUUUUUUUGUUUAUUGGCUCAAAUCUGAAAAGUGAGUGGGGAGCAUGAGGAGUCGAGUAGAAGAGAUACUAUUCAAUUAAGCUAAAUUCAAAACCUUUUAUUUAAAUUGUGAGAUCUUUAACUUCUUUUUCUUGUUAGCUGGAUAAUUUUAAAACAGAAUAAUGGUGUUUUGAAAGGAAAAUUAAAAAAAUCAUUUAUAAAAUAAAAUUAAAUGAACAUUUCAGCUUUUCCAGACAAGCCUUCCAAUUUAAAAAAUGCCAAAAUGGAAAUGUCAAAAUGGAAAUGUCAAAUUGUCUUUUCUUUUUCUAUAACUUUUUAGUCUCUUCCCCAUCAUGUUGGUGAAUCAUGAAGUUUUUUUCCCUUUAAAUUUCCUGAGACAGAAACAUACCACAAGGACUUGGUCCAGCUAAAAAACUCAGUAGCCAUUUUCUGUGUAGAGGUUGCAAAAUGUGGGGUAUAUUCUUUACAUUUUAGCCUCUGUAUAUCACAGACCAGUGUGGUUUGUAUAUAAUUCAACCUUCUCUUGCCACAAGACACUGAGAAGAGGUUUGACUGGCUGCUCUGACUGCAUGUUUCCUCUGUUAUCACUCCAUUCUUCCCCACAGAGUGUAUGUUUGUUUUGGGGUUAUUUGGUUUAGGGUAUUUGUUUUAUCAUAUCUGGAAACUAUAACCUUUGAAAAACCUCUACCUACAAAAGAUGAGCCCAAUAAUGUAUUUUUAUGCCCAUUCAUUUGCAUCCAUCUUGGGGAAUAUAUAAAAAUAUCUGCUUUCUGCCCACCAGAAAUUCCUGUUCUGUGACAUGCUCUUCUCCAAGAUCCUCUCAGCUUUAUCCAAAUAAGUUUAAUUUCUAGCUACCAUUCUUCUUGUAUAUGGAAAGCCCCUCAAGUGUCUUACCAUGACUACUACUGUUUGCUGUAUCAGUUCCACGCGCUAAUAUGAUUUCCUGCAAGAAGAGAUGAAUAUAUUAGAUCUGCAGUGAAAUCAUAGAGGGGUGGUGGAAUAGAAAGCCUGACCAGUGUUUUUAAAGAGAAUAAUCUCAAUGAAAGAUGCUAAAUUGGUUCCAUGAUAUGAAUGUAAGUUGUACAGUCUUGCUCUAGCACAGGCUCCUGACUUUCUCUUUGGUUUUCUGGCUGGCAACGGAUAUCGUUGCUGCCACCUGUUUGAAGACAAUUGUGCAACUGGGACCGUGGAAUGAUGUCCAGUUGCCUUUUUUAGAAUAUGAAUAGGGCCUUUGAGUUUGGCUGCGCUGAGCAGUUUGAGGCUGAAUCACUCUGUAGACUUGCCAGAGAAAGCGUUUAGCCUAUGGACAUGAGCCAAAGCCCACUGAAUCUCACAGCAAGGCUCUUCUUAGCUUCGGUGGGCUCUGGCUCAAACUCUAUAUGAAUGAGAAUUUCUUCUCGGGAAUUAAAUAAAAUUCCUUAUUUUUAGUUCCUCUUUUUAUUUUCCCAUAGAUUCUCACCUGUACUUUUCCAUUUGAACCACUACCUCUUUGCUCCACUCAUCCCUGCUCUGGAGCUAGAGUGUUAGGAAUGAUGGCAACACAGGUGCUCAGUCAUGAAUAAGGCAGGUACAAGGAGCCGUCUCAGAGCUCAGCUGCCUGAACUGCACUGUACCCACUGUCCACUUUUACUUACUUUUCAUUUCUGAAUGUGUGCUAUUUUGAAAUGCCUCUAAUGCUGUUGGACCCUGAGCUAUUUUGGACAUGAGCAUGUCAUUUCCCCUCUGCUGCAAUCACAGUUGGAUCCUGCAGGCAUUUCCCAUAACAGGCCUCAGUUAUCAACAGCAAGAGUUUUAGUGUAUUUCCCUUUGCAAAGACUUUUCUUGCCAGAUGGGAGUUGUUAGUUGUUUAUAUCAGGCUAUGAGUAAUGCCCUUUCACUAGCACUGUACACAAUGUUUUUUUUUUUUUUUUUUUUGACAUUUAUUCCUUCUGUUGUUAUACAAUGUUAGCUUUGCAAGUUAUAAAGAACAACCUUUUUCCCUCAGGUGUCCUUUUGUGUGCUUUUUGCUCUUUUUUUUUUUUUCUUCAGAUUUUCUCUUCCAAUUUUGAAGGUAAAAUGAAUGUAUAAAAAUAGAAAAAAGAACAACAAACCUUCCAAGUCUCCUACUCACUGCUGUGAAUAGAUCCUAGACAUAGAUUUGUGAACCCAUUUGUGGGCUUCUCAACUUCCAUUUCUUCUUGAACCUCCUUUAUGUCUGUAACAGGACUACUAUUUCAUUCUGUUUUCCUUGACACUGUUGGACACAACCUAAAUACCUAAAUUUCACCAUCUCCAAGCUCUUCCAUUACAUGGUGGGAUGAAUCUUUUCUCUGCAGACCUCACUCUAUUACCAUCCAUACAGUAAGACCUUACAUUAUGGGUCAUUGAGUAUUUUCUGUGAGAGGAGCCCUCAACUCGUGCUUAUUCUGAGUUUUGACUCUAGGUGUUUGGACAGUCAGCCUGAAGUCUUGAUCAAGAAGAUUUUUUUUUGUGAUAACUUUAGCAUCUCUCAUGCUCUUUCACUUCAGAGAUAGAUAGAUAUUAUUUAAUCAUUCCAUCUGCUUGCUUCCCUAAAUGGUUCAGGAUCCCUUUAGAUCUGCUAAGAAGAUGGGUCUGUUUGAGCUAUCAGACUAAGACCUUUUUUAACAUUACAAACCUGAAAAUAUUUUCCAUGCCCCACUGUACUGAAUUAGAACCUCCACGACUUGUUCCUACAUGCUUGAACUAUCUUUUACAGGCUUCUAAGAAGUAGCCUUUAACAACAAUAAAGCCCUUUAACCGUAAAUAUAUGGGUAACAUCUGUACUCUGCACUUUACAGUGGUAGUAAUUUAGGAGAAACUCGGCAGAACUUCUAAUCUGAUCCUAAUUAUAAGGUUGCCCUUUUGCUUUUAGUCACUGCUUUGGAGUGUCCAGCACUUAGGAGUGUGGAAGUUCUUUGUAAGAAUGCACAAGGAAAUAAAUAACUGCUGUUAAAACUCUGUGUUCUCUCUAGCAAUAACUCAACCAUGGAAAAAAAUAAAGGAAGAAUGUACCCUCAGGUAUACUUUCCUUGAUGCAUAUAAAUUCAAGUCCCAUGAAAAUGUUUAUCUGUAAAUAAGCAGCUUGGUUUAGUCUUAUUUCUCAAGAUUAUCUGGUUGUGAGUUAGAGUCUGCACUCGGUAAUAAGUGAAAAACAAGUUUGAUCACUGGAAUUCUGUUAUUUUCAUCUGCAAUAUUAUGCAAGAUCAAGGUAACAAAUUUUGUUGCCAGCUGGAGCUGCAGGGUAACAGGUUGCUGCUGGUUUUCCCUGUAGACAACAGUAAAGAACACAUUUUAUGUCAAAGUAAUUGCACUAACAGGUGCCGUUGAGCAACUGUGUUUUGGUUGCGACACUCUUGUGGCUCAGCACUUACCACAAAUGUUUAUAUAAAAAAAAUUCAGUUCUGCUUUUAAAUUCCUAUUCAAACUGACAAGAAGGAAUAGGGUAAACAAGAGUGAAGCAAUAGCUACAGUUGAAAAACUAGAAAGUCCCUUUCCGACUUCUGGUGGUUGAAUGCUGCUUUCCUAUCAAAAGUCCUUCCUUGGGCAUUUAUCACAGAGACUGUUAGCAUACUUCCAGGGCGGGCAACAUGAAGACCUGUAAGAACUGAGUGAGAUUCUUGCAGUGGGAUACAUGGUGAUGUGAUUAUGUCACAUAUUUGGGGGAUAAUGUAAUUUCAGGCUCCAAAUACAAGACACUGCUGCCCAAGCAGUGGGCUCUCUCCCUCUUGCCUUUGUUGUGUACCCAGCUGCAGAGCAGUGCGUGCCAGAGAUGAAAGCUUCAUGUGAGAUGCCCCAAGGGUGUGUUUACAAUGUUGUAGGUAUAUAUAGUGAUGCAAUGCCACUGAUAUAAAUCUCCUAAAGAUGGACUAAAGAUGGGAAAAGUGGCUUUAGCUAUAUCAGUGUCCCCAUAAAACCAAAUUGUAUCUUAUGCUAACUUGGGUAUCAAUUCCAAAAUUCUUUCUUUCUUUCUUUCUUUCUUUCUUUCUUUCUUUCUUUCUUUCUUUCUUUCUUUCUUUCUUUCUUUCUUUCUUUCUUUCUUUCUUUCUUUCUUUCUUUCUUUCUUUCUUUCUAUCUGUCUAUCUAUCUAUCUAUCUAUCUAUUUUUACGCCAAAUAUUUAUGCCUGCAGUCUGCAGCGUUCUUUGAAUCUAAAAGAAUCAGCUCUUCCUAACAAAAUAUGCUGAGAACAGUCUGGAGGUUGUACCUUCACCUCUCCUUCUAGAUACAUCUCAUGCCCACAGACUCCAUGCCUUUUUGGUUUGCCUUAGCAUUUCUCAUAUAUUCUUUUCUGGUUUUAGUAUGGAUAGAUGAUUUCUGUGAGGACUGCAAUAUUUGACAAGACCCAUUCUUUCUUCAAUCUCUGUUUUCUCAAUCUUUUCCUUCUUGGAGACAUUGUCUUUGCUUACUUGUGGACUUUCUCCAAAUCUUCCAAUUGUUUCCUUUCCUCCACAUAUACCCACCAGGCUUAUUUCUCUGCAAGUUAUUUCUCUGGACUUACAGUCCAGCUACUGUAUCUUAAUUAACUGUUCAUCAUUACUGCAGCAAAUGUAUACAUGCAUGUUCAGUGCCACAGCCAAGGCAAGAGCAUGCACAGCUGUAUAAACAUCGGUGAAUGUGGGCUAAGAUAAUUCACGUUACUUCACAUUCUGUAUGGUUGAAGAGUGUCCGUGGUGAUCAAGGAAGACUGAACCCUAUAUACAACUCAUCCUGUGUUUUGGCAUCCUAAGACUUCCCUGUUCUCAUUCCCUUCACCUCCAAUUCAUUUUGAUUGUGAUUAGUAAUUUUUUUUUUUCUUUUGUACUGGUGUAGUCCCACUGCCAACAGUGCUAUGCCAUAAAUUGCAUGAUCCCACUCCAAGCUCCUUUGCUUCCACUUUUAUGAGAAUGAAAAACACUUCAAUGGUAUGGAGAGAUAUUUACAGUUCAUGCACUCUUUUUACUUUGUUUUCCCAUGGAAGUAUCCCUAAAGUUUUGCUAACAGUUAUUUGCAUGGAUGGAAGGCCUCCAUCUUAGUUUGGAGGCCUCCUCUUAGUUUGGUUUGCUCAGUGCCUUUAAUUGAUGUUACAAAUAGAUUCCCAUUGUUUAGUGAAGAACACAGGGUGUUGGGUUAUUUUUGUUGUUUUUUUUUUUUCCCAUAAAGUCUCUUUCUUACACGAUGCCCAUGCUAUAAGUGUCAGUAGCAUUUGCAUUUUUCACUCUCCAUAUCCCUUUUUUGUAAACAGCCUGAUGAAACCACUGAAGUUGGCACAUGUUUUAACUGAAUAGCCGCAGUGUUGUGCUGCCAUGCAAUGCUUUCCCCAUCCUCUUUCCCCACCCCAGAUGUCAUAUUCCCUUACAUGGACAUGUCCAAAAUGUGGUGAACCACUCCUGGCAGAGAGUUGGGCUACAGAUGGGAAGCAAAUGAGGACAACCUUCUCCAAGGGCAAAGCUGCUGUAGUCAAGGGGCUUUGUCUUUGUGACUCCCCAAAAGCUUUCAGGACAAUUUCAGCCUACAAAGACAUAUUUCGUCUUGGUCAUUUUUUGGGCACUUGAUUACAUAUAGUAAGAUUUUUGUUUUUAUGUGUGAUACAACUUUUUGUUGUUGUUGUUGUUGUUGUUGUUGUUGUUGUUCUAGGAACUCCUCAUUGUCGUCCGUUCCAGAGGGGAAAUCCAAAAAAUUUAGAUUUACUGGCAAUGUUAGAAGACAUUUGGGUAAAACUGGAGUUUAUCUGAAGUGGUUAUCUGAACUAGAUGAGAAGAAAGCAUACAGAUAUGAUAAUAAAAUACCAAAUUUCAUGUAAGGAUUCUGAGGGAUCUGGAUGUGAGUCUCAAACUUUUGAGAUGUGAGACUAUGUGGUUACAAAGUAAAAAAGGAUGGUGCACCUGGGAUCGAUAAAUCUUUUCAAUUUGUUAUUGCAUUUCCCUGAAAUGAGAGGGUUUGUUCUCUGCAGGGUGACAUGGAAGCUGCCAUCUCAUUGUAGAGCACCAUGGGCAGAGACAAACUGCUCUUUUUGAUGAGUUGCUGGCUGUUCUCUCUGCCACUCACUUGGCACGGUAGAAAAAAACCCAGCCUGAUAGAAGGGCAGCAUUUUGUCUAUUAUUUUGUUAAGACAAAUUACCUGCAAACUGUAACUCAGCAGUCUUGCUGAAAAUGCAGGUGAAAAACAGGAGGCGAUUUACUUCAGUGAAGUUGAAGGAGAACUCUGACUUCCUGCAGCAGGAAACCACCUCCUACUGAAGGAAGCUUGGAGGGCAACAUCUAACCCAGAUCAGGACUUCUGGUGGUCAGAAAGUGUUUUUAAGGGGGAAGGAAGGUGAGGGAGGGAGCAAAGCAGGGCUGAGUCUGGCACACAUGGCUGCUUUUUGUGUGGUACCAGCUCUGGGUUUCUCUAGGUGUGAGCAGGGCUGGGUGGGACAUGGGCUACCCGUGCAAGGGGUUACUUGCUCAACUUAUAAAACUGCUUCAGAUGACACCCUGGGCAGCAUGGCACACUGGUGCCACCCCUCCUGCUUCACAGCAUGGCUGCAGGGUUGCUGUGUGCUCCUGAAUGCUCACUUCCCGUGUAAGGCUUUCUAUCACAACCAAAAACUACCAGAAGGGAGAAAAGCUCUUUUCUUUUUGGUUAAAAAAAAAAAAAAAAAAAAAAAAAAAAGAUCUAGGUAUGCAGCAUCUUACUGAUUCUUUCACAAAAAUCCAAUGGAAAACAGCUUCUCUAGCCAAGAGUUUGCCACCUGAGGUGAAAUCCAACUGAAAACUCUUUUAUGGAGAGCAGAGAUCACCUCACCUGUCUUUAACUACUGCUCUUAUUUAUGAUCAGACUGCUCCAUAAAUAAAUAAAUAAAUAAAUAAAUAAAAAGAAGAGCUGCCUGCUGACUGCUGCCUGUGGUGUGGUUUGGCCACAGCUGGGCCACGAGCUGUGCACUGUGCAUCUCCCCACCUGCACCAUGCAGCUUGCUGCGGUGGGCUGCUGUGCUCUGUGGGGACGGAUGCUCUUUGCAUCUCUGGUGGCAGCUGCCAGUUGCUGGGGGGCUGCUGGUUGCUUUCAAAUCCCAUGGAGAGGCCGGUGGUGGUGGUGGAAGGAAGGAGAAGGAGGGGAGGGAGGGUUCAUUCUCAAAAAGGCUGUUACUGUUUAACUCUAUGCAAACUCAGCUGCCACAAGCCCUCGUGCAAGAAGUCUGUUCUUCCUGAAAAUGUGGCAGUCCUUUCACAGCCCCUUCCAAAAUUUACUUGGAUGGAGCUGGACUUGGCCCUUACUCAGGAGGAGUGGUUGAGCAUUUUUUAAACCUGUUGUUCCUUAACUGAAAGGCUUUUUUCCUAACAGAAAAUAAGGGCCUUACACUGCCAACCUUUCUGCCUGCAAACUGGGAUUAUAAAUAGCUUCAGCAUUUUGCUCAUGUCUGCCAACACUGACAGUUAAAAAUUAGCUCCUGAUCUGGAGCUAUUCAGAUAUGUAAUGUUUAUAUAUCUGUUUUCCUAUCAGUGUCCAGCCCCAUGGCUUUCUCACAAACUCUGCUUUCUUUACCACGCAGGGUAGAAAUACACGCUGACCACGCAGACUGCUGGUAAAAUAUCAACUAGAGCAGCAGCAACCAGGAGUCUUCAAGCAUCUUAUUCUGUUCUGACUUGAUUUCUCAGAUGGAAGUAUGCAUCUCAUCCAUGUCUGAGGAGCAAUAUACCACCUCAUCUGUCAACAGCAAGAAAUGACAAUAAUUACAAGAAAGUACAGACUAUAUCACAUGCUUUACUAUAACUUAGGGACAAACUUGAAAUUCGCAGAUAAGUUUGAGCAGAUUCUAACCUUUGUUAUGGGAAGCAAAGAUCUGAAGUCCACCGAGGCCAAUUAGGUGAUUACUGACUUGGAGCACUUUGAAUCAUCUCCACAAGUAGCACCAUUAGCCUGAGUGACCCAAUCAACUCUCCUGUCUGCAUGUGUUCAAAGACCUGUCGGCACUGCUCUGAAGAUGUGAGUUUAACUUUGCUCUCAUUUUCUCCUAGGUGAAGGAGAGAAAAUGCUGUAUUUGUUUUUAGAUGUAGUAUACCUGCAUUAUUACAAAAUACCUCUCUCAUUUCACACAGUUGUGAAGUAAAGGAAGUGGAGCACUGCCAAACACACCAAAGUUUUUUUUCCAUUUAUUGGUAACAUGAGAGAAGAAAUAAUCCAUUUUAUGUUUUACCAUGCUUGCUUAUCAUCUGAUUUAGUGCUCCUCUGUCAUGGCUAAUUACUCUAAGAUAAUUCUAGUUCUAGGUCUCAAAAUAUAUGAAUAAAACAUGUCCAGGUAUACCAUAUAUGUCAGGUGUGUGCAGAUAUCCACACAAUUGAAGACUUUGGAUUAUAAACUAUGGGAAUGGAUAUGACUAUUACAUGAAAAAUCAAUGAAAUGUUAAUCAGAUAAAGCACGACAGCAGGUGGCCAAGAUAUCAGUAGGGCACAUGUCUUAUAGCGUGUAAAUCUCUCUGCAAACAGGAAGGUCACUUUCAUGGCAUCACUAGAUAUUCUAUGUCACCAAAACAGACAAAGUCACCAAAAUGUCACCAUGCAAUGCUCUUUAAGCAAGGGUAGGUGCAUUUAAUACUUAACCCAUCCAGUGGCUGCCUUGUCCUGCUUUUCCUUCUGGAAACACACUUUCUAGUCAUGUUGGUGAAGCUUUUUUCUGCCUCAGGUGGGCAACAGUGAAGUCCUAGAGGGCAAAAAAAUCCACCAACCCUCACAACAGAAUUGAAGCUCCUUCUCAACCCAUUAUAAUGUGUUAAAGAAAUCUUACAGCUUUUAUUUCUCUGUUUUGCUUUGGGGAUAUCAGGAGCAUUAAGAGACACACUCUUGUAUCCUCUCCCAGACCUUCUGGGCUUGCUUGCUGCUUAACUAUGCUUCCAAAAGCUGUCCGUGGUUACAGAAACAAAUGUGCAAACUGCACAUGGCAAAGUUGAAUAAAAUGUGAAGUUUCUUACUUCAGAAGUGGAUGCUGCCUUGACUACUUACUGUAAGUGUUUGGAUGAUGGGACAAACCCAGUGCCUUCAUCAGCAUCUUCUGAAGCCCAGGCCCAGGCUCUGCAGGGGGACAGGCCUCUUUGUCACGAUGCACCUCUUGGUGCCCUCUCAGUACCCUGGGUGUUGACCUUCACACAGACUGAAACAUCUCCUCAGUGAUGUUUUGGAUUUCAGGGCCUUUCCUGAGUGGUAUGUUGCUGAAGAGUGGAGUCUGGAGAGAGACAGGCUUUGUUCUUCUCUUGCAAGCUGAGCUCUCCUCCCAUUUCCCGUCACAGAUCCCUUUGCAGGAUAUGUUUUUAUUGCACCCUCGCUCUCUUCGGUUCAUGCAGAGUUGUUCAUUUCCUGACUGUAUG
rnacentral:lncRNA from 1 species